ACGGGUGCGUAACGCGUGGGAAUCUACCCUUGGGUUCGGAAUAACAGUGGGAAACUACUGCUAAUACCGGAUGAUGACGUAAGUCCAAAGAUUUAUCGCCCAAGGAUGAGCCCGCGUAGGAUUAGCUUGUUGGUGAGGUAAAAGCUCACCAAGGCGACGAUCCUUAGCUGGUCUGAGAGGAUGAUCAGCCACACUGGGACUGAGACACGGCCCAGACUCCUACGGGAGGCAGCAGUAGGGAAUAUUGGACAAUGGGCGAAAGCCUGAUCCAGCAAUGCCGCGUGAGUGAUGAAGGCCUUAGGGUUGUAAAGCUCUUUUACCCGGGAUGAUAAUGACAGUACCGGGAGAAUAAGCCCCGGCUAACUCCGUGCCAGCAGCCGCGGUAAUACGGAGGGGGCUAGCGUUGUUCGGAAUUACUGGGCGUAAAGCGCACGUAGGCGGCGAUCUAAGUCAGAGGUGAAAGCCCGGGGCUCAACCCCGGAAUAGCCUUUGAGACUGGAUUGCUAGAAUCCGGGAGAGGUGAGUGGAAUUCCGAGUGUAGAGGUGAAAUUCGUAGA
rnacentral:rRNA from 1 species